rnacentral:RNase_P_RNA from 1 species
AGACUUGACUUGGCAAUCGCUGUCGCGAUUAUAACGGCAGAGGAAAGUCCGGACUCCUUAGGACAGGACGCCGGGUAACGCCCGGGAGGUUAUCUGUAAUGGAUAAUUUACGGAAAGUGCCGCAGAAAAGAUACCGCCCCGAGUAAUCGGGGUAAGGGUGAAAUGGCAGGGUAAGAGCCUACCGCGUGGAUGGUAACAUCCUCGGCAAGGUAAACCCCGUCCGGAGCAAAGCCAAGCAGAAGACGAUUCCCGUUCUGCGGGAUGAAGGGCUGUCCGUCCAAUGUCUUCGGGUAGGCUGCUCGAGGUGAAAAGUAAUUUUCAUCCCAGAUAAAUGAUUGCCUUCGGUUUAUUUAAUUUUUACAAUAUGAGUUUACACCUGAUGACAUUGUCUGUACAAAGAUUUAAGUAUCCACCCGGAAGAUAAUUCCGUUCGGCUCACUCGCCAUUAAGUGUAGUCAUUUGUAGAAAUUUCUUUUAACCGGAACAGAAUCCGGCUUACAAGUCAGGUCUAUAU